AAUAAGCCGAGUCGCCCUUUAGAGUGGCUGCCGCUCCUUCGGCUCGCGACUCCGACAAUUUGUGCAGUACAAUACACUGGCCGCGUAGAGUAUCCUCUAUCAAUUCCAUCAAUCCAACAAUCUCAUAGAACAAAUAGAGUACAUUGGAGAAUAGAGAUAGAGGAAAGAACUAGAGGUUCGAACAUUAGGUUUGGCGUACAUACGCGACAAUACCCUCCACGCGGGGUAGAUAAAUUGUGCUUGGGCAGCCGGACUCGUUCCGUUCUGCAAGGCGAUCAAGCGUGUACCAUUAGUCUCGGGGUAGAGAAGGGUAGAUGACUCUAGGGUAGAUGGCUCGGAUCGGUACAGAAGGAGGAGGAGGAGGCCACGAAGGGUCUGGUGGGAGUUACCUGUCCAGUGGCUCUUCGAUUGUGCGUGCUUGAUGCACGAGACCGCGUGCGUCCAGUGGGGAGUAGACGCACCGCGGCCACAGAAGCCGAUGCAGCUGCCGUGGUGUGGCCUCGGUCGGUCCGAAGUACAGUGGUUCCUGUUCCUACCGUUUCUUUCACGACUCGGGUUGGGAGAGGUGGGGUAGAUCCAAGCCCUCCUAGUUGUCCACGACCCAAUGAAUGAGUCGUGGGAGAGGUUCCUCCAAGAGUAGCGCCACUGGUGCCAGUGGUGCCGCGUGCGCGAGACCUGUCGCCACCGUCCAUACAAAAGGAGCGUCAGGUACUCGGCGCACUUAUUAUAGUCCUGCCGCGAGUAGUUGCGCGUCUUCCCGUUGGUUUGUCAACGACGGAUGAAGCGGAGGGAGGCACCAGAGCGGCUGCUCGAGCGGCGCCGGCCCUUCCGGUAGGUUCUGCUGCUUGAGUAGAGGAUGUAGUAGGUGCCGGAGCUGCAGCUGAUGGUCGGGGAGCAGAGGCGGGAGCUGCGUGCGCAGUGUGGCCAGAGGGAGCUGCUCGAGAUGCGGUACGAGUCGUUGAAGCUGGUCGCGUACCGAGUCAAGUUGGUGAGCCCGUCGCCGCCGAAGGCAAGGAGACGGUUGCGACGGCACGCACCAGCACCGCCACCUAGUGCACCAGCACCGCGGAGAGCGCGUUUUCCUGCGAGACCUCCAGUGCCACCACCACCUUUGUCGCCGUCGCCGUUGUCGGCGAGACCACGUAGAGCGCCAGCGGCGCCGCCGCCAGGUGGAGCCCGGGCAGGCCUCGAGGGAGCGACAGUUUAGACGCCAUUCGGUCCCGUGUGGCGCGCCCUGACGACCAUGGCAAUACUGCUUCUACUGCUCCUGAGAGUUCUACUUCUUUUCCACCGACGGUGCCGACUACCUAGGAUGCCGUAGCUGUGUUUAACCAUACAACUAUCGCCGCGGUGGUUGGUGUAGUGGUUACUCGAACUCUUCCAGUGCUACUUCCUUUUUAUGGCACCUUUUCUGGUGUAGGUGUGCCGUUCACCUCUUCCGGUGCUUCUUCCAAGAGAUAGCUCCAUCUACACAAGCUCCCGAAAUGGGCAACGAAGGCCUCGAAUCCUCUGAGUUAUUUGUUCGGUUACCACAACAGUUUCAAAGCAGUUGUGCCACCGUGCUAGCUAAUCCCGUACGACGAAAAAGAAAUCAACUUUCUAACGAAUCCUUUUUAUUUGAGGGUAAACAACCACUCUCUUUACAGCUUUGAUAAACACUAAGGAUGGUUACACGAUUUUCAGUAGUUAAUGGAACAGGUUAUAGAUGAUCACAGAGAUGGUUUGGUGAAGUUAACUAAAAAAGACUACACACCCCAGGACGAGGGUGAAGACAACCAUCUGUACUCAUAAUACAUUCGAAGUAUCUACUGAUAUCGUUCAAACACACCUAAAUAGAAGAGUUUUUCUCUAGGCUUCAGAAAGUUCAAAAGGUUUUGAAAGUUCGGAACCAACUUGCUUUUAAACUAUCGUUUUAAUAACGUCAGGUUAGCCUGACCCCCCCUCCCCCCCAUACUUUUUGAGUUGAGGAAGGUUUGUGAACCGUAUAGUGUGGUACAUAGUACGGGAGUACGGGUAGUUGUCUUACUGAGACGACUUUCCUUCGUCUCUGUGUAUCAACUCCAACCCGAUCGAGAGAACCGUCCUCGGAUGUACGGGGAUUUUAAAACCCUACUCCGGAAAGAAUGACGGCAGGUGUAGUAGUUAUACGAGGGAUCAGCUCAGUAGUUGUUAGUUUGAGGUCAUCUUUCUGAGGAAGUACAGUUUGGUCUGAUAUUUAGAGAAGUACACAAACCCACACGAACAACCGGGUUGGAAGCGGGUAUGUUGUUUUCUUUUGAGUACGAGGCGAGUUUUGUUACACAAAAAGAGCCCAUAUCGGGAGUUGUGUUUCCACAGUUCACAAAUCUAUAUAGGUGACCGGCACAGAUGUAUAGAGCGCUACAGCAAAAACUACUUUGGUUGAAGGGGAGGCGAUGGGAUGUAGGUUUGCGGCCACGAGCGGAGGCUCUUCUUUAAGAGGAGGAUGGAUGAGUAGAAUGGUGGUAACUAGGUCCCCCAGGCUUAAUACUACUAGUUGACAACUGAUUAGGACGAUGAUUACCACGCGUACUCAAAAAACUACUACAAGGUCCUCUGUCGUCGCUUUUAUUACUUCUUUGUUCACUUUUUUUGCGCGGCCGUCAGGGUGUAGCGUACACAGGCGUAGGUCCUCCGUUUAGGAGGAGCCCUAACCGUGGCGUCGUCGUCAAGUCGCCUAGGGGGAACCCUACCCACGGCCGACUGCGCGGUCUGCGCGUCCGCUGUCGCGGUCGGCUAGCACGCCGACAGAGGUCGGGUCGCGCGCUGCGUGCAGUGCGAGGUUAACCGCCGCCGAGGUCGCAGAGAGGCGCGGUUGGGAGCGAGCUGUGCGCCGUCGGACUCCAAGCGGUCCUGCUGCGCGCGAAGGCACUGGUCGGCCAGUGCAUGUUCGCCGCGCUGGUCUAAGCGGCUGUGCUGCGCCCCAGGGCCAGACGACGCCCUGGCCCGCACCUGAGGACACGCGGGUGCGCACGUGUCGUCUAGCCGCAGGCGGAGCUCCGACUAGACGGUAGUAGGAGGUUACUACUCCGGGGCCCUAGAAGACACGUAUGUCUUGUGCGACGUGGACUAGUUUGACAGUGUCUUCUAGGCCGCCCUCGACUAAGACGAUGUCCUCGAAGACGGAGCCCUAAAAGACACCGGCCCCUAGGGUUACGACGUGGCGGUGCUGUAUGUGCUGAGGUCGUACCCCAUUAUGUAGGACAAUUAAUAUUUGUGUAUUGGUUUAUGCCAUACCAGACAAGGUGUCCACUUGGUCCACUUGGAGCCUGUGAAGUCCUUCGUGAACCACUACUUUCUACCUUUUUACGAUACUUACUUCUUAUGUACCGUGAGUUCUUCUUAUUUUGAACCGUAAACCAAGGGGGUGUCGUUCCAUUUUUAAAUUAACUAACGUUCACCCAUAAGUCUUAUUUCUCUUUUAGACUACCUUGAUAACUAGCGAUGUUUCGAUCCGAGCAACGUUUUCCAAAAUUUGUUGCCAUACCGUAUCUGAUGCUCCUGUGAAAAUCAGGUCAACAAUUCCGACGGUGAUAGGCAGAACAAAACAGAUAACGGCAAAGGUCCCCUACCUCAGAGCCCGUUGAACUACAAGUCUUACGCAAAGAAGUACCACAAGACCUUCUCCUCCAUAUGUACUUUGUUGGAGGACCCAAACAUUCAUUUUCACGUGGGAGAGUACAAACGUUCAACCUGUUUCGUGAAAUACCAAACUUUGUCCGUGGUUCUCGUACCAUGAGAGCAGAGACAGUGUUUUACGUUUGUGAACCAAAACAGGGAAGUUUUAGACUGUGGAGAGACAAGUAGAUGUUGUUCAGGUUAUGUACGUAUAAACAGAAUUAUAUACAACUACUAUAAUAACACUGUUCGAGUAGACUACUUCGGUAGUGUCCUGACAAUUUUCUAAACUCACGUCUAAAACGGAACUUCCUAGAACCUCUGAACGUAAUAAAAGAACCCUAACUUCAUUUCUCCGUGUUCCUACCUGAAGUAGAGAGGGUUCUUUUCAUACGUCAACUGAACCAUUCCUUUCGACCAGAUGUCCCAACAUUUGGAUGUGGAUGAGGUAAUAGGUCGAGUCUUUUUAAUAGAGAAUGUGUUCCCUGAGAGAACUGAGUUCUCCUGUCAUGGUUUAUGUCUUCGAACCAUCCCCGUGAAGUUAUAGAAUGAGAAUGGUCCGGACUAUAAAGCAAACGACAGUUGUUUCAUACAGUCAAGGAAGUACGUGGAUGUUGACAAGUAAAUUGACGACGGUUUGCGUAUCAGUCUAUACAGUUUUUGUGUAACUCGUACCCAGAGUUAAAAUCGUUCAGUAGAAGAUGAGAACAGUCACGAAAAAGACUAAGACUAACCCGUCCGACAGAACUACUAUCUGCGAGAUGACCACCAAAACGACAAAAGAAACCUGGGUUGAAUUAAAGUACCACACGAGCAUUCGUUCGAUGUCAGAGGUCUAGCUCAUGUCUCCGUCUUAUAUUCCGUAACCGGUUACGGUGUAGACUUUAGUAUACCCAAGUUAGGUACGAGUUCCUUGAACCAUAUGUCUCAGUUGUCCGGGGUACAAACACCACACUGUUAGAACCACGGUGGAUAGAAAGUCGAUUAGGUCACAAAGUACGAUCCUGGUUUGUGUAACUCUAUCUGAAAGUAAAACAGUCUCUCUCCCAUCGAGUAUUCGUUGAACUGUAAGCAAAACACGUGAGGUCUCUAGUUUAACGUCUACCUAAGUGUUUCCGUAACGGUCAGUUCUCAAAACUUUUGAAGUUCAUAUUAGAGUUGGAGUACCUCAACACUAAUUCCCUCCCACAAUUUGUGCAGUACAAUACACUGGCCGCGUAGAGUAUCCUCUAUCAAUUCCAUCAAUCCAACAAUCUCAUAGAACAAAUAGAGUACAUUGGAGAAUAGAGAUAGAGGAAAGAACUAGAGGUUCGAACAUUAGGUUUGGCGUACAUACGCGACAAUACCCUCCACGCGGGGUAGAUAAAUUGUGCUUGGGCAGCCGAACUCGUUCCGUUCUGCAAGGCGAUCAAGCGUGUCUCCGCUGCCUCGUCUCCGUCUCCUCCCUAGCUCCUCUCUCCUUACCACAGCGCCCUGUUCUCUCUACACAUCUUAGUACCUUACCGCCGAAACUCCCCCCUAACCAAAAUGUAUGACAGGGUGUAGUCACCUUAGAACCUUACUUUAGGGUGCGGGUAAGGUUCUGUCGACUUGUGCCACCCAAGCCUAAUCAUUUACUAAUGCACUAAGAUCCGGGUUUACUACCCUGUUUGUUCGACGUUCAGAUUAGAUCCUCUCACCCACUACCAUGUAGUUGCAAGUAAACCGUCGUUUUGACCUAGGGUGCCCUGAAGUUGUACGCGGGAUAACAAUCAUUUUAUUAACUAGGUGGAGAUGACCACCGGCUGAACGAAUGCCGACUCCGCAGGACCCUGUACCUGUUUAACCGGGUUUAGAAGAACGGAUGUCUACGUGUUCGAUAACGACGAUAGGGAGAAACAGGUUCCGUCCACCUACUGAAAACCAGUACCUAGGUACUCUUCUUACCACAAAAGUGUCAGGCCAGUCGGAUGUCUUACAAUCAUAGGUGUUUCCGAGCGGUCCUACGAACCGAACUCCCGUCUCGUCUAAGAAAUUUAAGCCUCUCCCUCUGCUUCCAUACCUGUUCAUACACCUUCUGGUUGCAGGGUAGAUUCCAAUUUUAAAAGAAUACCUCCGAACGAGUCGUUAGAGACGGGUGCCGACUAGAAGAUUGAGUAUCUUUGUACCGCUGUCGCAGAAGCACACCGGAAACACCUCGCCUGUUAAGUACCGUCGUGAGAGAGGAAGUGACAUUGUACCGUUCUACGCAUACCCGCAGUCUUCUGGGCCUGGAACGACUACAAAAAGUGUUGUAUUCCCUUGGCCUUCGGUUUUCCACCUAUAAAUGUGAUUAACUGUCGGACGUUGUACUACAAAAGUAGUCCCAGUAUCACUGUAACACCCGAUAGACCAUGCGGGCUUCUUUCCGCAAUGUACUCGUAUAGAAGGUCUGGGGAGUGCGUUGGGUAGUAAAAUAGGCGUUGAUAUAAUCCCUCGAGCCGCUCUAGUUUGGUUUCCCCUGUGUUCGAGGUGGUCGCCGUUCCCGUGGGGCGGGCACGUCUUGCGGAGGCCGCCGUCCUAAACGAUUCUAGUUUCACCUGCCUCGAUGAAGGUCCUCAAGUUUGUCUCCUAGAAAAUCACGGCACACGUCCCUACUUUGUCCCUUCAAGUACCCGCGCAGUCGAUAGUCUACACAACCGUAUUGACUGGCUCGUCGAAACCUCCGCGAUCGGACGGCUCUUCGGGAAAGUAACCGGGUCCUAGAAAGAGAUUGUGUACACUACUAUCGUAGUCUGACGGUUCUCCAACAAUGUUUAUAGUUUUAGCUACGUCCUCCGAACAUACCGUCGUAGCACUUCCUCUAGUUUAGUUGAAGUCGAGUCAAGUGCAGAACAUGAAGGUAAAAGCUCCCUGCACUCAGAUUAUAACUCCGUGUGUCGGAGCGAUUCGUGUGAGAUCCUGAAAGAAAUCCUGGGGUAAACACCGAGGAGCUUGGAGUUCUGGAAUUAACAUAGGGUUACAUAAACCUGAUACUAGUAAUU
rnacentral:rRNA from 1 species